rnacentral:lncRNA from 1 species
GAAGAAAUGAGUGACCUUGGAGUAGUGGGAUUGCUAGAUGCACCCUCCAAGGGGCCGGCCUCUUUAGAGAGAAAGGGAGAGACAUGUUCUCUCCAAUUUUCUCUAAAACAAACCCCUUAAUGAAUUUUGGCUAUAAAGUCAUAUUUAUACCUUUAUUCAUUUGAGUGGCAAACUUGUAAAUAAGUCCAAGUUCACUACCCUUAACCAUAUGGCCGGCCUUAGGGUGUUGUUUGGGCUUUUGGGCUUUUGUGAAUUAAGUUGUCAUACAACUUAAGUCAAUGGGCUUGACGUUCGAAACCCAUUGGGCCUAAACGUCCAAAACUAUCCCGAUGUCUUUAACGAACUUAUUCGUUUGAUUAAUUAACAUAUUAAUUAAUCAUUGCCAUAAAUAAUUAAACCAUUUAAUUAUUCUUACUCAUCUCCAUUGUUUCUUCAAUCUCCACCUUACACAGUGUACGAUCCAUUAGGUUCCUUUUAGCGAGGCAGUGGGCGAUUCAAA